rnacentral:rRNA from 1 species
AAUGAACGCUGGCGGCAUGCCUAACACAUGCAAGUCGAACGGAUCACGCGAGCUUGCUCGUGCAUUGAUCAGCGGAGUGGUGAAUACUGCCUUGACAUCUGGCUGAUCUUCGGGAAUGACGUGCGGAAACGGGGGCUAAUACUGCAUACAUCGUGUGGGAGACAGUGGGUGAUCUUCCGAUCUCACGCUAUGUGGUUAGCCUAGGUCCGAUUAGCUAGUUGGUGGGGUAAAGGCCUACCAAGGCGAAGAUGCCUAACUGGUCUGAGAGGGUGAUCAGUCACAUUGGGACUGAGACACGGCCCAGACUCCUACGGGAGGCAGCAGUGGGGAAUCUUCCGCAAUGGACGAAAGCCUGAUGCAGCAAUGCCGCGGGAGUGAAGAAGGUCUUCGGAUCGUAAAGCUCUGUAGGUAGGGAGGAAGGGCAGAUAGUUUAACCGUUAUGCUUGUGACGGUACCAAAAGAAUAAGCAACGGCUAACUUCGUG